rnacentral:rRNA from 1 species
UACGUAGGGGGCAAGCGUUGUCCGGAUUUAUUGGGGGUAAAGAGCGUGUAGGCGGCCAAGCAGGUCCGCUGUGAAAACUCGAGGCUCAACCUCGAGACGUCGGUGGAAACCGUUUGGCUAGAGUCCGGAAGAGGAGAGUGGAAUUCCCGGUGUAGCGGUGAAAUGCGCAGAUAUCGGGAAGAACACCCGUGGCGAAGGCGGCUCUCUGGGACGGUACUGACGCUGAGACGCGAAAGCGUGGGGAGCGAACAGG